GGGCAUGUGAUGGAAUUGGCAGACAUGUAUGACUUAGGAUCAUAUGGGUAACCCCCGUGAGAGUUCGAGUCUCUCCAUGCCCA
rnacentral:tRNA from 1 species